rnacentral:rRNA from 1 species
AGAGUUUGAUCCUGGCUCAGAUUGAACGCUGGCGGCAUGCCUUACACAUGCAAGUCGAACGGCAGCACGGGGGCAACCCUGGUGGCGAGUGGCGAACGGGUGAGUAAUACAUCGGAACGUAUCCUUGAGUGGGGGAUAACGCAGCGAAAGUUGUGCUAAUACCGCAUGAGCUCUGAGGAGGAAAGUGGGGGACCGUAAGGCCUCACGCUGAAGGGGCGGCCGAUGUCCGAUUAGCUAAUUGGUGAGGUAAAGGCUCACCAAGGCUUCGAUCGGUAGCUGGUCUGAGAGGAUGAUCAGCCACACUGGGACUGAGACACGGCCCAGACUCCUACGGGAGGCAGCAGUGGGGAAUUUUGGACAAUGGGGGCAACCCUGAUCCAGCCAUGCCGCGUGAGUGAAGAAGGCCUUCGGGUUGUAAAGCUCUUUCGUGAGGGAAGAAACGGCCAUAGUGAAUAGCUGUGGUUACUGACGGUACCUCAAGAAGAAGCACCGGCUAACUACGUGCCAGCCGCCGCGGU